UACGGCCACGACGACGCCGGCGGCCGGGAGGCGCUCGACUCCGUCUUCGCCCACAUUGUCGGCGCCGAGGCCGCCAUCGUGCGCCCCCAGUUCUUCUCCGGCACUCACGCCAUCGCCUGCGCUCUGUUCGCGCUGCUGUGGCCUGGACACGAGCUCUUGGCGGUCGCCGGGCCUCCCUACGACACCCUGGAGGAGGUCAUUGGGAUCAGGGAUUCGGCCAAUGUAGGAUCGCUCAAGGACUUUGGGGUGACCUACCGAGAAGUUCCGCUCGCAGCAGAUGGUGGCCUUGACUGGGCGCUUGCUUGUGCCGUCAGACCGGAGACUGGGUGCGCGCUCAUACAGAGGUCCUGUGGUUACUCGUGGCGCAAGAGCCUCGGCGUAGAUGAUAUCCGUAGAGCCAUCAAUUUGAUCAAGCUGCAAAAUCCAAACUGCAAGGUCAUGGUGGACAACUGCUAUGGUGAAUUCGUCGAGACAUCAGAGCCUCCAAUGGUGGGAGCAGAUCUUAUUGCUGGCAGCUUGAUAAAGAACCCCGGUGGUACCAUUGCGCCGUGUGGUGGCUACGUUGCCGGGAAGAAAGAUUUGGUUGCUGCAGCUGCAGCUCGCCUAUCUGCACCGGGCCUUGGGGUGGAGUUUGGGUCCGCACCUGGACAUGUUAUGCGAGCGAUGUUUCAGGGCUUGUUUCUUGCUCCGCAAAUGGUUGGAGAGGCAGUAAAAGGGGGUUUGCUAAUUGCAGAGGUCAUGUCAGCCAAGGGCUAUAGAGUUCAACCACUUCCAAGGGCGCCACGCCAUAAUAUUGUGCAGGCAGUAGAGCUUGGCAACAGGGAGAGACUCAUAGCAUUCUGUGAAGUUGUCCAACAAACCUGCCCAGUAGGAUCAUUUAUUACGCCAACCGCUGGGGAAACUCCGGGUUAUGCUUCAGAGGUCAUUUUUGCUGAUGGGACAUUCAUGGAUGGAAGCACAAGCGAGCUAUCAUGUGACGGGCCCUUAAGAGAUCCAUAUGCUGUCUUCUGUCAGGGAGGAACGCAUUGGACACAGUGGGCUCUUGUCCUGGGUGAAGUUCUGAAGGUCAUACAGCUGUUUGUUACCAGAACCAUGACUCAUUUCUGGACUGGAAGGUCAUAG
rnacentral:rRNA from 1 species